UUGGUGUGACUGGUCUCGCUGAUCCCUCCCUCUUGACGAACUGUGAUGCCAUUAAUUUGGUGUCGCAGGGAAUCAGGACUGUUACUUUGAAAAAAUUAGAGUGUUUAAAGCAGGCUUUCGCUUGAAUACAUUAGCAUGGAAUAAUGAAAUAGGACGUUUGAUCCUAUUUUGUUGGUCUCUAGGAUUGACGUAAUGAUUAAUAGGGAUAGUUGGGGGCAUUAGUAUUCAAUUGUCAGAGGUGAAAUUCUUGGAUUUAUUGAAGACUAACUACUGCGAAAGCAUUUGCCAAGGAUGUUUUCAUUAAUCAAGAACGAAAGUUAGGGGAUCGAAGACGAUCAGAUACCGUCGUAGUCUUAACCAUAAACUAUGCCGACUAGGGAUCGGAUGAUGUUAAUUUUUUAAUGACUCAUUCGGCGCCUUACG
rnacentral:rRNA from 1 species